UACGGAGGGUGCAAGCGUUAUCCGGAUUCACUGGGUUUAAAGGGUGCGUAGGCGGGCAGGUAAGUCCGUGGUGAAAUCUCUGAGCUUAACUCAGAAACUGCCAUGGAUACUAUUUGUCUUGAAUAUUGUGGAGGUAAGCGGAAUAUGUCAUGUAGCGGUGAAAUGCUUAGAUAUGACAUAGAACACCAAUUGCGAAGGCAGCUUACUACACAGUUAUUGACGCUGAGGCACGAAAGCGUGGGUAUCAAACAGG
rnacentral:rRNA from 1 species